UACGGAGGAUGCGAGCGUUAUCCGGAUUUAUUGGGUUUAAAGGGUGCGUAGGCGGGCUCUUAAGUCAGCGGUAAAAUUGCGGUGCUCAACUCCGUAGAGCCGUUGAAACUGGGAGCCUUGAGUGAGCGAGAAGUAGGCGGAAUGCGUGGUGUAGCGGUGAAAUGCAUAGAUAUCACGCAGAACUCCGAUUGCGAAGGCAGCUUACCGGCGCUCAACUGACGCUGAGGCACGAAAGUGCGGGGAUCGAACAGG
rnacentral:rRNA from 1 species